rnacentral:misc_RNA from 1 species
GAUGAAGAACGUAGCGAAAUGCGAUAAGUAAUGUGAAUUGCAGAAUUCAGUGAAUCAUCGAAUCUUUGAACGCACAUUGCGCCCGUCAGUAUUCUGGCGGGCAUGCCUGUUCGAGCGUCAUUACGCCCCUCAAGUCCCCUGUGGACUUGGUGUUGGGGAUCGGCGAGGCUGGUUUUCCAGCACAGCCGUCCCUUAAAUUAAUUGGCGGUCUCGCCGUGGCCCUCCUCUGCGCAGUAGUAAAACACCCGCAACAGGAGCCCGGCGCGGUCCACUGCCGUAAAACCCCCAACUUUUUAUAGUUGACCUCGAAUCAGGUAGGACUACCCGCUGAACUUAAGCAUAUCAAUAAGCGGAGGA